GACAGAUGUGCCGAGCGUUAGGCGGAAUCACUGGGCUUAAAGCGUGUGUAGGCGGACCGUUAAGUACCUUGUGAAAUCCCACGGCUCAACCGUGGAACGGCUGGGUAUACUGGCGGUCUUGAGCGGCCUAGGGGCAGACGGAACAAGUGGUGGAGCGGUGAAAUGCGUAGAUAUCACUUGGAACGCCGACGGUGAAAACAGUCUGCUGGGGGCCUGCUGACGCUGAGACACGAAAGCCAGGGGAGCGAACGGG
rnacentral:rRNA from 1 species